rnacentral:rRNA from 1 species
GAUGAACGCUGGCGGCGUGCCUAAUACAUGCAAGUCGAGCGAACGGACGAGAAGCUUGCUUCUCUGAUGUUAGCGGCGGACGGGUGAGUAACACGUGGAUAACCUACCUAUAAGACUGGGAUAACUUCGGGAAACCGGAGCUAAUACCGGAUAAUAUUUUGAACCGCAUGGUUCAAAAGUGAAAGACGGUCUUGCUGUCACUUAUAGAUGGAUCCGCGCUGCAUUAGCUAGUUGGUAAGGUAACGGCUUACCAAGGCAACGAUGCAUAGCCGACCUGAGAGGUGGUCGGCCCCACCUGGACUUGAACACCGGUCCCGACCCCUACGGGAGGCAGGAGUAGGGAAUCUUCCGCAAUGGGCGAAAGCCUGACGGACCAACGCCGGGUGAGUGAUGAAGGUCUUCGGAUCGUAAAACUCUUUUUUUAGGGAAAAACAUAUUUGUAAGUAACUGUGCCCAUCUUGACGGUACCAAAUCAGAAAGCCACGGCUAACUACGU